CCCUUAGAUGUUCUGGGCCGCACGCGCGCUACACUGAUGCAUUCAACGAGUUUUACCUUGGCCGAGAGGCCUGGGCAAUCUUUUAAACCUGCAUCGUGAUAGGGAUAGAUUAUUGCAAUUAUUAAUCUUGAACGAGGAAUUCCUAGUAAACGCAAAUCAUCAAUUUGCACUGAUUACGUCCCUGCCCUUUGUACACACCGCCCGUCGCUCCUACCGAUUGAAUGGUCCGGUGAGGUUCUCGGAUUUUUUCUGUUGUUUGGUUCGCUAAACGAUUGAAGAGAGAAGUUACCCAAACCUUACCAUUUAGAGGAAGGAGAAGUCGUAACA
rnacentral:rRNA from 1 species